rnacentral:rRNA from 1 species
GAUGAACGCUGGCGGCGUGCCUAAUACAUGCAAGUCGAGCGAAUGGAUUAAGAGCUUGCUCUUAUGAAGUUAGCGGCGGACGGGUGAGUAACACGUGGGUAACCUGCCCAUAAGACUGGGAUAACUCCGGGAAACCGGGGCUAAUACCGGAUAACAUUUUGAACCGCAUGGUUCGAAAUUGAAAGGCGGCUUCGGCUGUCACUUAUGGAUGGACCCGCGUCGCAUUAGCUAGUUGGUGAGGUAACGGCUCACCAAGGCAACGAUGCGUAGCCGACCUGAGAGGGUGAUCGGCCACACUGGGACUGAGACACCGCCCAGACUCAGACGGGAGGUAGCAGUAGGGAAUCUUCCGCAAUGGGAGAAAGUCUGACGGAGCAACGCCGCGUGAGUGAUGAAGGCUUUCGGGUCGUAAAACUCUGUUGUUAGGGAAGAAUAAGUGCUAGUUGAAUAAGCUGGCACCUUGACGGUACCUAACCAGAAAGCCACGGCUAACUACGUGCCAGCCGCCGCCGUAA